rnacentral:tRNA from 6 species
UGCGGGGUGGAGCAGUCUGGUAGCUCGACGGGCUCAUAACCCGUAGGUCGUAGGUUCAAAUCCUGCCCCCGCUACCA